rnacentral:tRNA from 1 species
UCCCUGGUGUCUCAGAGGUAAAGAAUCUGUCUGCAGUGCAGGAGACCUGGGUUUGAUCCCUGGUCUGGGAA